AGAAACCAAAAAAUCAAACCCCUAGAUCAAAGGAGAGCAAAAACUGCGGAUCUAAAAACCUCCCCCUCCCCCCCUCUCGUUCAUAACCUUCUUCAGCAGAACACCAAAAAAAAACUCCUCCAUUCCUUCUAAAAUCACAAGAAAAUAACAGGACUCUUCACUCAGAGAAGAAGAAGAAAGCUUUCCCUCCUUUCCGUCUCAUCUUACUCGUCUUUCCUUGUUUGUGACAAAUUGCGGAUCUAGCUAGAAGUGACAUUAAAUCCGGCAAUCCAUGGAGGAUCUAGUCAAACUCCAAGAGAUGAAACGAAAACUGAAAAUAAAGGAUUUGAAGGCUAUUUGAAUUUCUGCUCUCUUAUUUUCAAUUUUUCUGAAAUUUUUGAGUGACAUUUGGGUUGUAGAAGUGUGGUUGGGUCACUAAAUCUGUUGCUGUUAUGUUGCUAGGUUUCCUCUCAUUAUUUCAGAAGCUUGUUUGUGGUGUUUUCUUCAUUUAAUUCCGGCUUGGUUAGUGAAUAGCUAAAAUCUCAGUUGAAAUCACAAUCACCUAGCUAAGUACGCACUGCUGGGGCCUCUGUUUGUGAUUAUUGCACUGAAGAGCCAAAUUUGAUUUUUUUUUAAUGAUGUAAUGGCUAAUGAUUCUGAAUUGUUUUCCCAUUUUAUUGAUUAAUUCUGAACAUGCAAGCUCAACUCUGCUCUAUUGCAAAUAUUCAUGAUGUAUUAAUUUUUAGUAUAUAGAUCUAGAUUUUCCUUAUUCAA